rnacentral:rRNA from 1 species
AACGAACGCUGGCGGCAGGCCUAACACAUGCAAGUCGAGCGAGGACUUCGGUCCUAGCGGCGGACGGGUGAGUAACGCGUGGGAACGUGCCCUUUGCUUCGGAAUAGCCCUGGGAAACUGAGAGUAAUACCGGAUGAGCCCUUUGGGGGAAAGAUUUAUCGGCGAAGGAUCGGCCCGCGUUGGAUUAGGUAGUUGGUGGGGUAAUGGCCUACCAAGCCGACGAUCCAUAGCUGGUUUGAGAGGAUGAUCAGCCACACUGGGACUGAGACACGGCCCAGACUCCUACGGGAGGCAGCAGUGGGGAAUCUUAGACAAUGGGGGAAACCCUGAUCUAGCCAUGCCGCGUGAGCGAUGAAGGCCUUAGGGUUGUAAAGCUCUUUCAGCUGGGAAGAUAAUGACGGUACCAGCAGAAGAAGCCCCGGCUAACUCCGUG